rnacentral:rRNA from 1 species
GCGAACGCUGGCGGCGUGCUUAACACCUGCAAGUCGAACGGAAAGGCCCUGCUUUUGUGGGGUGCUCGAGUGGCGAACGGGUGAGUAACACGUGAGUAACCUGCCCUUGACUUUGGGAUAACUUCAGGAAACUGGGGCUAAUACCGGAUAGGAGCUCCUGCUGCAUGGUGGGGGUUGGAAAGUUUCGGCGGUUGGGGAUGGACUCGCGGCUUAUCAGCUUGUUGGUGGGGUAGUGGCCUACCAAGGCUUUGACGGGUAGCCGGCCUGAGAGGGCGACCGGCCACAUUGGGACUGAGAUACGGCCCAGACUCCUACGGGAGGCAGCAGUGGGGAAUAUUGCACAAUGGGCGGAAGCCUGAUGCAGCAACGCCGCGUGCGGGAUGACGGCCUUCGGGUUGUAAACCGCUUUCGCCUGUGACGAAGCGUGAGUGACGGUAAUGGGUAAAGAAGCACCGGCUAACUACGUG